GGUGUCGCCUAGCGGUUAGGGCAACGGACUUUGACUCCGUCAUCGCUGGUUCAAAUCCAGCCAUC
rnacentral:tRNA from 1 species